rnacentral:rRNA from 1 species
UACAGAGGGUGCAAGCGUUAUUCGGAAUUAUUGGGCGUAAAGAGCGCGUAGGCGGUUCGACAAGUCUGGUGUGAAAGCCCUGGACUCAAUCCAGGAAGUGCAUCGGAUACUGUCGGACUAGAGGACGGGAGAGGAAAGCGGAAUUCCAGGUGUAGAGGUGAAAUUCGUAGAUAUCUGGAGGAACAACAGUGGCGAAGGCGGCUUUCUGGACCGUUACUGACGCUGAGGCGCGAAAGCGUGGGGAGCAAACAGG